UGAAGAUCGCACUCGUCCUCCUGGUCUUGUCUGUCGUGGUGGCCCUGCCCGGAGCAGAUUCCUGGCGAGUAAGAAGAAUAGUUCGUGCUGUGGCUAGAACGGCGACAAGGGUUGCCCGUACUGUAGGCAGGGCUGUUGUUCGUGUCGUCGGUAAGCGAGAUAUGACUGUGGGCGACAUUGAUGAUGACGUUGAUGUCAGUGACAAGGAGAUACUGGAGGCAUUGGCAACCAGAGACGUGGAGGACCUCAUCGAGAACGGCUUCAUCUCAGGGGCAGACAAUGAUGACUUCAGUCUCCACCAACGUCAACGCAGAGAGGAUUUGGAUCACGAGGGAGAGUGAAGCGUUUCUGAAGACUCCUUGGCACCACCCCAUACCCCGGAUCCUGUUCGAAAUGUGGAAUUGAUAACAUGAAUAAAGUCAGGGCAUUAUAAA
rnacentral:lncRNA from 1 species